GCCCCAGACACAAACACUGCCCGGAGAGGCCUCAAAGGGGUGGAGGCGGGCAGGCCACAUGGAGCCGCCUCACCCCUCGCCCUGGGCGCGGUCACCUCGGUCCCCAGACGCCUCGGAUUCCUGUAGGCUACGAAGACGCACGGAGUACGGCGCGGUUCCGAGAGAGGGCGCCAAAGGCGACGUGCGGGCGGCCAGCUCCAGGCCAAGCCCUGUGCGCCGGCAGGGACCGGCCCCUUCACCCGGCGCGGGACGCAGAGCUGCGCGAGAAUCUUGUUCGGCGCGGACUCAACGCCAGGGCGCCGCCUAGAGGUCUGUUUCUGCCUCGGCCUCACCCGCCGGAACCGCAGAGCUGCUUCCCCAGCCGCCUGCCACCAGAAAUU